rnacentral:rRNA from 1 species
CACGUAGGAGGCAAACGUUAUCCGGAUUUACUGGGCGUAAAGCGCGUGUAGGUGGUUCUGUAAGUAGGGCGUGAAAGCUCCCGGCUCAACUGGGAGAGGCCGUUCUAAACUGCAGAGCUAGAGGAUGGCAGAGGGAGGUGGAAUUCCAGGUGUAGCGGUGGAAUGCGCAGAUAUCUGGAGGAACACCAGUGGCGAAGGCGGCCUCCUGGACCAUUCCUGAC